CUCGUCCAAGUAUGUAUGAUGACUUUAGCAAGCAGUGCAUGCUAAAACUCUCAGCAGCAGCUUCCUGCCCCAGAUGAUUGCAGCUUGCAAGCACUCCCCUACAGUGACCCUGCUAACUCACCUCCUCCUCCUUCCUGCAUGUAUAAUAAGCUCUCUGAGUUCCCAGGCUGCCAGUGCAUCUCCAUCAAAGCCCACAGCCCACACAGUCCCAGCUUUUCUGUACACAUGUCUGUCUUUCCUCAUUCCCUGUCACCCCAAUCUUAUCAGCCCCAAAGCUGUGCAGGCCACAGCACUGAGCUGUCUCCUCAGCCUUAUCUCAGAUUUCAAAUCUUUCAUGUCACAAGUUAGCUGGGGGUUCUCCGUUUCAUUCUUCCUCGGUGUGUUACAAGGUUUCAUCAUCUUCCAGAGGAGGUUCAGCUUCUUGUCUUGAUACCUUCGAGUCACAGUACCCCAUCCCCUCACUCCGGAAAGACUUGUCGGUAUCAAAUGGUAUUGGGGGUCAGGGAUCUGGGCCACAAAAGGAGCUACUCCUGGCUGGGCAGAGCAUGGAUACUUGGAAGGACAGUUCUCUGCACAGGAACCUCUGCUCAAGGGGCCCUUUGAAACACACUCAGAGGCCACUGCAGAAGAGGAUGGAAAGACUCCAAGAGCCAGAGGCAACAGUGGAUGACCAUGCAACCCAGCUUUCCAGUCAUGGCAGGGCACUGCACAUGUAAACUCACAGAGGCUGUGAACAAGACCUGCACAAGAUCAAUCCAGUCAAAAUCCCAGCAUGAAUGGACAAGGGCUCAUGAAGUCCCACCGUUAGCUGAGGAGCUUUUGGCAACUGAUGGCUGUUGUGGGCGGGGGACAGUUCUCACCAGGGAUGUGGGUCCUGACAGGCUGUUCAUGCUCAAGUAGAUGGCCCUAUACCAACGGAUGUACUCAUCUCACUAAGUGGACUCAGUGGGUUUCAGAAAGUGAAAGCACAUGAAAUUCGGAGGGAAAGUAGGGGAUGGUAGGAGGCAUCGGAGGGGAAGGGGUAAGGGUGAGUUUGAUCUAAAUAUAUUACAUUUGUGUAUAAAAUUAAGCAUAAUAAAAAAGAAUUAUUCUCCUUUAGUAA